UGACAUAUAAAAAUGAUAUUGAGAAGUUAAACAUUAUUUGUAAUUGUACACCAAAUAUCAUAUUACCUUCGCGUACCUAUCCUCGAAAACAUAGAAGUUUAUGUCAAUAAUCAUAUGUCUAUGAGUAUACGUCAAACGUCAAUUCCUCAGUAACGUCGGCAAUACUGAAUAUUUAUUUUCAUGAAUCAAAAACAUUCUAUAAUCUAGUACAUUCCAGUUAAUUUAACAAUUUUACAGGAUAUAUGCAUAGAAAUUCAGAACAAUGACGAAGCUUUUGGAAUGGAUAUCGGUGAUAUCUGCCGUGUUUGCGGUAUGGUACUCCUUAAUCGGCGGCUACGUUAGGCAUCCACUUAUAGAAAAAUACAUGAACAUAAUUCUAGUUUCUCCAAUACUUUUCGUCAUAUUGUUCGGCCUGUAUGCUGUCACCGUGGUUUUAUUCAGAGUUUUCACGUUUAACAACUGCGAGCAGGCGGCCAAGGAGUUGCAGCAGGAGAUUAUUGAGGCUAAAAAGGAUUUGCAUGAUAAGGGACUUAGAUGGUAACAAUUCCACUAGAUUUAAGCUUAUGAUUAUUGCAAUUUUGUACAAGUUUAAUAUAUUAUAUUUUUAAGCAGU